UUCAAAAGAUUCUUCUAAACCCUCCUCACUUCUUGCCAUAAACCCUUACCGCAUCUUCUUCCAAACGACGACGUCUUGCCUCAAACCUUAUUGCGUUUCCUUCGAACCUUCUUAGUUUCAUCCUCUCCAAACCGUGGUCGAACCAUCUCCAAACUCGCUAUCGCUUGCCCUCGGCAUAUGAUUGUGUGCACCUCGUGGCCUUGCCUUCCUCACUGUCCGUUCCUCGCCGCCGUUUCCCGCCGCAAAUUGAGCUGUUUGAGUACUAUUCUCUUGGAUUAUUCUUGCUUUGAUUUUGGUUGUAUUGCAUCAAGAUUAUGCCAUCUUCUGCUGUCUAAAGUAUCAGGUAUCACUGAUUUCUGGAAACAUUGAAUUCCACAGUCACGCCAUGAUCAUGGAGUCUUCUUCAUCCCAUGACUUGAAUUUGGGAUCCAUCUCAUCCGAUGCAUUACCAGUCAGUUCUCCAGCCGUCUGGAUUCUAUCCCCAGUUUCCAGGUUCACCACUUCAGCCAUGACUAGGUGCACUCACGAUAAGCAAUGAAGGCUUGACGGUGGCACAACAAUAAAGGCUGGUGCAGUUUUAGGUUAAAGGAUGAAGAUGUCAUUGGUUCAACCUCUUUUGACAAGGUGAGGAUUCAGCAUGAGCUCUGAGAACCUUGUUGCUUCUGUGCUCCUUGUGAGACGACCAGUGGUCAUUCCGAAAAUUGAUCCUGUAGUUUACGCAUUUCAAGAAUUCUCAUAUCCUGAUGAAUUUCUAGACAAAUCUGAAGCAAGGUACUCCAGGGGGAAAAGGGGAUUAUCAGAUUGACUAUGUGCCAGCACCACGAUUCACUGAAGCUGACAAAAACAAUGAUAAAAGUGGCGAGUGACCAUAUGGUUGUUCAGCCUACAGAAGACCAGUCUGGAUCCACAUCUUAUAUGAGAUUCUUCUUCAAAUCUCAAGUAAUUGCUAAAAACAAGUUCAACAUUGCAAAAUGUGAGGAUUUUGUCUGGGUGACAAAGGAUGAAUUGAUGGAGUAUUUUCCUGAGCAAGCUGAAUUUUUUAACAAGAUGAUCAUUAACUGAUGACAAUGGAGGACAUUUGUUUUGUUGAAACACUUGCAAAUUAUCACAGAAUGGUUGUGAAUAACCUUGAAAGAACAUCAAACUACCAUAAUGUUUCAGGGCACAUCUCGAUUUAAAGUUUGGAUAUCUAUCUUUCCACUUCAUCAAAUCUUGUUUUUUAAUUUCAAAGUAAAUUGUUUUUCUGCCUUCCCUAGAUUAUAA